AUUGAACGCUGGCGGAAUGCUUUACACAUGCAAGUCGAACGGCAGCACGGACUUCGGUCUGGUGGCGAGUGGCGAACGGGUGAGUAAUAUAUCGGAACGUAUCCAAUAAUGGGGGAUAACUAAUCGAAAGGUUGGCUAAUACCGCAUACGUCCUACGGGAGAAAGCUAGGGAACUUCGGGCCUGGCGUUAAUGGAGCGGCCGAUAGCGGAUUAGCUAGUUGGUGGGGUAAAGGCUCACCAAGGCGACGAUCCGUAGCUGGUCUGAGAGGACGACCAGCCACACUGGAACUGAGACACGGUCCAGACUCCUACGGGAGGCAGCAGUGGGGAAUUUUGGACAAUGGGCGAAAGCCUGAUCCAGCCAUUCCGCGUGAGUGAAGAAGGCCUUCGGGUUGUAAAGCUCUUUCGCGAGAGAAGAAAACUUACCCUCUAACAUAGGGUGAGGUUGACGGUAUCUUGAUAAGAAGCACCGGCUAACUACGUGCCAGCAGCCGCCGUAA
rnacentral:rRNA from 1 species